rnacentral:piRNA from 1 species
UGGAAGAGACAAAUCUUGUCACAGGGACUA